AGGUACCAGACAGUAGCUAACGGUAACAGGUACCAGACAGUAGCUAACGGUAACAGGUACCAGACAGUAGCAGGUACCAGACAGUAGCUUACAGUAACAGGUACCAGACAGUAGCUAACAGUAACAGGUACCAGACAGUAGCAGGUACCAGACAGUAGCUUACAGUAGCAGGUACCAGACAGUAGCUAACAGUAACAGGUACCAGACAGUAGCUAACGGUAACAGGUACCAGACAGUAGCUAACGGUAACAGGUACCAGACAGUAGCUAACGGUAACAGGUACCAGACAGUAGCUAACGGUAACAGGU
rnacentral:lncRNA from 1 species